UAUUACUAGAUUUAUUUCACCUGACUGGGUGGGGUUUAAGAAGUUCGCUUAUUUAAGACCAGUCCAUCUUCAGACAGGAUUUUUGGGAUAAACUCAUCAAUGAAGUGUCCAGUUAUUCGUCCCAUAUCAUACACUCAAUUCUUUUGUAUAUGCGUUUGGUGACACUGAUAGGUGAUUAGAAUUCAAUAAUAAUUAUAACGGCAUUCAUCCUUAUCACACACAUCUUCAAAUAGACUGACCUUAUGCAAAUUAAAACAUAAGCUCCGCCCGAUCAGUUAAAAUAACAUUGGUAAUACAUAUGCAUCAAGAUUUUUGCUAUCGCAUUGAGAUAUCUCAGGC
rnacentral:lncRNA from 1 species